GAGUUGUUAGUCGACUAAUGGUUGACUUUAUGUGUACAGCAUACAGAAUUGGGUUGAAGAUUUAUUUUGGAAACAGCUUGAUUUAGAUUACCCUGGCAUGCCUGAUGCAAUGGUGCACCAUGGGUUUUUUAACGCUUACCACAACACAACCAUACGCCCUGGAAUUCUAAAUGCUAUUGCAAGAGCUAAGGAGUUCUAUGGAGAUAUUCGCAUCAUAGUUACAGGUCAUUCAAUGGGCGGGGCAAUGGCUUCAUUUUGUGCUCUUGAUCUAAGGGUAAUCA